GAUGAAGAACGCAGUGAAAUGCGAUAACUAAUGUGAAUUGCAGAAUUCCGUGAAUCAUCGAGUCUUUGAACGCACAUUGCGCCCCCUGGUAUUCCGGGGGGCAUGCCUGUCCGAGCGUCAUUACAACCCUCAAGCCCGGCUUGUGUAAUGGGCGGCCGUCUCUCCCCCCGGGGGGAGACGCCCCCGAAACUCAGUGGGGAUGUCGCGAUACCGAAGCCUCAGCUAAUGGGUAAACCACAGCUGCAAUGGCCGCGGCCGGCGUCCGCCUUCCACGGUCCGUCCGCCUAGCGCGGGCGGCCUUCUCAAGGUUGACCUCGGAUCAGGUAGGGAUACCCGCUGAACUUAAGCAUAUCAAUAAGCGGAGGA
rnacentral:misc_RNA from 1 species